AUGGCUGUCCUGGUGCUGCUCCUCUGCCUGGUGACAUUUCCAAGCUAUGCCCUGUCCAAGAUACAGCUGAAGGAGUCAGGACCUGGCCUAGUGCAGCCAUCACAGACCCUGUCUCUCACUUGCACUGUCUCUGGAUUCUCAUUAACCAGCUAUGGUCUAGGCUGGAUUCGCAAACCUCCAGGAAAGGGUCUGGAGUGGAUGGGAAGAAUAUGGAGUGGUGGAAGCACAGAGUAUAAAUCACCUCUCCAGUCCCGAAUCACCAUCACCAGGGAUACCUCCAAGAGCCAAGUUUUCUUAAAACUGAACAGUCUGCAAACAGAUGACACAGUCAUGUAUUACUGUGCCAAAAGCACAGUGAGAGAACUCCAGUGUGAGCCUGCACAGAAACCUCCAUAUGGAGACACUCAUGACCAGCAGGGGGCGAUGGGGACCAACAGGGUCUCCCAAGACCAGUAUGUUCUAGACUAUGCUGCAUGGGCAAAUGUUUCAAUAUUAGAAUCUGUAUUUUUCUUUUCCAAACACAGAUAA